GACGAACGCUGGCGGCGUGCUUAACACAUGCCAGUCGAACGGAAAGGCCCUGCUUUUGUGGGGUGCUCGAGUGGCGAACGGGUGAGUAACACGUGAGUAACCUGCCCUUGACUUUGGGAUAACUUCAGGAAACUGGGGCUAAUACCGGAUAGGAGCUCCUGCUGCAUGGUGGGGGUUGGAAAGUUUCGGCGGUUGGGGGUGGACUCGCGGCUUAUCAGCUUGUUGGUGGGGUAGUGGCUUACCAAGGCUUUGACGGGUAGCCGGCCUGAGAGGGUGACCGGCCACAUUGGGACUGAGAUACGGCCCAGACUCCUACGGGAGGCAGCAGUGGGGAAUAUUGCACAAUGGGCGGAAGCCUGAUGCAGCAACGCCGCGUGCGGGAGGACGGCCUUCGGGUUGUAAACCGCUUUCGCCUGUGACGAAGCGUGAGUGACGGUAAUGGGUAAAGAAGCACCGGCUAACUACGU
rnacentral:rRNA from 1 species